UACGGGGGGAGCAAGCGUUGUUCGGAUUUACUGGGCGUAAAGGGCGCGUAGGCGGUCAGCACAAGUCAGUUGUGAAAUCUCCCGGGCUUAACUCGGAAAGGUCAACUGAUACUGUGCGACUAGAGUGCAGAAGGGGCAACUGGAAUUCUCGGUGUAGCGGUGAAAUGCGCAGAUAUCAGGAGGAACACCAGCGGCGAAGGCGGCGCCUCUGGGCCGGUACUGACGCUGAGGAGCGAAAGCGUGGGUAGCAAACAGG
rnacentral:rRNA from 1 species